UUUCCACAUCCCUAACAGCAGCUCCCGAAUCCCUGCAUCUCCCGCCCCAGGCUGAACCUUCCCUCUCCUUCCUCUCGCAGAUUACACUCUCUGGCCUUUCUGGGUCGACACGCACGUAGACCCUCCGUUCCAUAAGAGCAGUGAUGGAACUGUACGAGAUAGGCGGGGCCAAGACGUCCGACUGUACCCAGAGGUGCCUGAGGUCCUAAAACGAUUGCAGAGCCUUGGGGUGCCCGGUGCGGCUGCUUCAAGGACAAGUGAGAUAGAAGGGGCCAACCAGCUACUGGAGCUCUUUGACCUCUUCAGGUACUUUGUUCAUCGGGAAAUCUAUCCAGGCAGCAAGAUCACACACUUUGAGAGGUGUUACCUGCAUUCACAUCCAGAAUGGAAUGAAUCUUCAAACUCUAAGUCAAGGGUUAGAGACAUUUGCGAAGGCCCAAACUGGGCCUUUGAGGUCCAGCCUUGAGGAGAGCCCAUUUGAGGCCUAAACUGAAAGGAAAUCAAGAAGGCAUUUUCAGGUGCAUUUGUAAUUUAUUAAAGUUCAUCUGUGUGUGACAGAAGA
rnacentral:lncRNA from 1 species